rnacentral:lncRNA from 1 species
ACCGCCAGUCAACCCCCCCACACCUGUGCCUCCUGUGAAGCCACCCACUACUCCCGCCCCACCGUCUACAAGCCACCACCUCCAGCACCAUCAGUCAACCCCCCCACACCUGUGCCUCCGUGAAGCCACCCACUACUCCCGCCCCACCGAUCUACAAGCCACCAUCUCCAGCACCGCCAGUCAAUCCCCCCACACCUGUGCCUCCUGUGAAGCCACCCACUACUCCUGCCCCACCGGUCUACAAGCCACCAUCCCCAGCACCCACACCCGUGCCUCCAGUGAAGCCACCCACUACUGGACCAAUGCCUCCGCCAGUUAGGACAAGAUCGGGUAACAUAUCCAUCACUUACAGAAGUUAACAUGAACUUAACAUGGCCCUCUUUCCUUGUUUUAGCUAUACAGAUAAGAUCAUAGAUUAACAAGUUUGGUGGCUUUAUUGGCAGAUU